rnacentral:tRNA from 1 species
UGGGGUGUAGCUCAGUGGUAGAGUGCUUGCCUAGCAUAUGCAAGGAUAUGGGUUCAAUCCCCAGUAUUGCAG